GUUCUCGUAGCUCAGUUGGAUAGAGCGUCAGCUUGCGGAGCUGAAGGUCACAGGUUCGAACCCUGUCGAGAACACAA
rnacentral:tRNA from 2 species